GCUGAAAGACCCACGAGAUGUCAAUGAUUAUUGAUUGUGUUAGUCAGUGCACACAAGUCGGUGAAGUGUAACUACAAUCUACUAUCGAUGAUUAUCAUGCACGUACCUUUACUUUUGAGUGUCAAUCUUAGCCAAGCCAGUGCUGUAUAAUUCUGUCCAAAAACCUGAUCCAAGCCACUCUGCCUUUAUUAUAUUCUAUGUUUACUAUAAAGACUGUGAACGUAUAAAUUAUAAAUUGCAAUAUUUGAGGAUAUAUGGAACAAUAUAUUCGGAACUGCACCACUUUGUCUUUGGAGUACCGGUUAUGUAUAAGUGUCUCUAUUGGCUAUUGCACCCAAGAGUUAUAUCUUGCGUACAUGAUAAUUCAAAACGAUCGUCAACACAAUAUGAAAAGCAAUUAGGAUAUCACCUAAGUAACAUGGAC